ensembl:lncRNA
CCCUAGUCAAGUGUUAAACCAUCCACCCCUAGUCAAGUGUUAAACCAUCCACCCCUAGUCAAGUGUUAAACCAUCCACCCCUAGUCAAGUGUGUCAUUGUGCCUGAUUGUACCAUCGGGUGUUUUAACGCGGUGCUCAGACCUAGUGGGACCUAGUGGUCUCUUAUGGUUUCAGCUGGUUGAGGAGUUCCUAUGGGGAUAUAGUUUAGAUUUGCUUUUACGCAAAGGGGACGAUUCCGACGUAGGAAUUUACACCUUCCCACGCAGGCCUUUCCUACACACUUCUCAGUAUUUGGUAUUCAGACUUUGCUUAUUCAGUCUUGUAAUGCGCUCUGCAGGCGUGGUUCCCUUGCGCUCUGAAUAAACGUCAUUCAACCGAGGAAAACCCUCCCACUUGCUGCCCAACAGAUGUUCUCAUGGAGUUUUUAUUCAAUAGGGUUUUCAGUAUAUUUAUCUGAAGCCAUCCCUUUAAAUACUGUGUACCUUUUAAUGUUGUCGACAGACUAGACUACAUGGAGACAACGGGUUCUGGGAUCAAUUUAAAAAAAUAUAUAUAUAUUUACAACAAAAUAUAUAUAUAUACAACAGUAUAUAUAUAUAUACAACAAAAUUAAAAGGUACACUGUAUUUAAAGGGAUGGCUUCAGAUAAAUAUAUAUAUUUUGAUGGUUUUCUCUCAUGUAAAGGGGGUGGAAUUAUGUCAAUGUUAGAAUACAGCGUAUCUGUAGACACAUCUCAUGUCUUAGCUUUCCAACCCAAACGAAUAGCGUUGAUAUUCUCAUGCUGAUGUUCAAGGUCAGAAUACACAGGCAGGGUGCUAUUCUCAUGCUGAUGUUCAAGGUCAGAAUACACAGACAGGGUGCUAUUCUCAUGCUGAUGUUCAAGGUCAGAAUACACAGACAGGGUGCUAUUCUCAUGCUGAUGUUCAAGGUCAGAAUACACAGACAGGGUGCUAUUCUCAUGCUGAUGUUCAAGGUCAGAAUACACAGACAGGGUGCUAUUCUCAUGCUGAUGUUCAAGGUCAGAAUACACAGACAGGGUGCUAUUCUCAUGCUGAUGUUCAAGGUCAGA